GGUCAGACUCUACAGGUCUCAGAGGGUCAAAGGUCAGACUCUACAGGUCUCAGAGGGUCAAAGGUCAGACUCUACAGGUCUCAGAGGGUCAAAGAUCAGACUCUACAGGUCUCAGAGGGUCAAAGGUCAGACUCUACAGGUCUCAGAGGGUCAAAGGUCAGACUCUACAGGUCUCAGAGGGUCAAAGGUCAGACUCUACAGGCCUCAGAGGGUCAAAAGUCAGACUCUACAGGUCUCAGAGGGUCAAAGGUCAGGCUCUACAGGUAGAUUAUCUCUGAAUGUUUUGAUGAUAUUAUGAACUGUAAAUAAUAAUAAAAUGUUGUUCUUAAACAUUUGUCUAUUUGCAGUGGUUGACAAAGUGGUGAAGCACAUCCUGUUCUUAUCUGUGAUUGGCUGAGCCUUUCAGGGAUGCUCCCUUAGUGGUUCAUCUGUGGAGCGUUCCAAACAGGUGUGGAGUCUUCCCAACAGGUGUGGAGCGUUCCAAACAGAUGUGGAGCGUUUCCAACAGGUGUGGAGUCUUCCAAACAGGUGUGGAGCGUUCCCAACAGGUGUGGAGUGUUCCAAACAGGUGUGGAGUGUUCCAAACAGGUGUGGAGCGUUUCAAACAGGUGUGGAGCGUUUCCAACAGGUGUGGAGUCUUCCAAACAGGUGUGGAGCGUUCCCAACAGGUGUGGAGUGUUCCAAACAGGUGUGGAGUCUUCCAAACAGGUGUGGAGCGUUUCAAACAGGUGUGGAGCGUUUCCAAACAGGUGUGGAGUGUUCCCAACAGGUGUGGAGCGUUUCCAACAGGUGUGGAGUGUUCCAAACAGGUGUGGAGCGUUCCCAACAGGUGUGGAGCGUUCCAAACAGGUGUGGAGCGUU